GCGGGUCUGAGAGGAUGAUCCGCCACACUGGAACUGAGACACGGUCCAGACUCCUACGGGAGGCAGCAGUGGGGAAUUUUGGACAAUGGGGGCAACCCUGAUCCAGCCAUGCCGCGUGAGUGAAGAAGGCCUUCGGGUUGUAAAGCUCUUUCGGCCGGGAAGAAAUCGUAUGGGUUAAUACCCUGUGCGGAUGACGGUACCGGCAUAAGAAGCACCGGCUAACUACGUGCCAGCAGCCGCGGUAAUACGUAGGGUGCGAGCGUUAAUCGGAAUUACUGGGCGUAAAGCGUGCGCAGGCGGUUUUGUAAGACAGGCGUGAAGUCCCCGGGCUCAACCUGGGAACUGCGCUUGUGACUGCAAGGCUAGAGUAUGGCAGAGGGGGGUGGAAUUCCACGUGUAGCAGUGAAAUGCGUAGAGAUGUGGAGGAACACCAAUGGCGAAGGCAGCCCCCUGGGCCAAUACUGACGCUCAUGCACGAAAGCGUGGGUAGCAAACAGGAUUAGAUACCCUGGUAGUCCACGCCCUAAACGAUGUCAACUAGGUGUUGGGUGGGUAAAACCAUUUAGUACCGGAGCUAACGCGUGAAGUUGACCGCCUGGGGAGUACGGCCGCAAGGUUAAAACUCAAAGGAAUUGACGGGGACCCGCACAAGCGGUGGAUGAUGUGGAUUAAUUCGAUGCAGCGCGAAAAACCUUACCUACCCUUGACAUGUCCAGGAGCCUGAAGAGAUUUGGGUGUGCCCGAAAGGGAACUGGAACACAGGUGCUGCAUGGCUGUCGUCAGCUCGUGUCGUGAGAUGUUGGGUUAAGUCCCGCAACGAGCGCAACCCUUGUCGUUAAUUGCCAUCAUUUAGUUGGGCACUUUAACGAGACUGCCGGUGACAAACCGGAGGAAGGUGGGGAUGACGUCAAGUCCUCAUGGCCCUUAUGGGUAGGGCUUCACACGUCAUACAAUGGUCGGUACAAAGGGUUGCCAACCCGCGAGGGGGAGCCAAUCCCAGAAAGCCGAUCGUAGUCCGGAUCGCAGGCUGCAACUCGCCUGCGUGAAGUCGGAAUCGCUAGUAAUCGUGGAUCAGCAUGUCACGGUGAAUACGUUCCCGGGUCUUGUACACACCGCCCGUCACACCAUGGGAGCGGGUUCCGCCAGAAGUAGGUAGCCUAACCGCAAGGGGGGCGCUUACCACGGCGGGGUUCGUGACUGGGGUGAAGUCGUAACAAGGUA
rnacentral:rRNA from 1 species